rnacentral:snRNA from 15 species
CAACCUACAUAGCGCCGAGUUCAGGAUGACCAAGAAUGCUCUGGCUCCGGGUGGAUGCUCACCAUUACACCUUGGUGGGUAUAAACUUCCGACGGCCCCUAAUCGGGUAUGCUUUGACGUGUAGGUUUUGUCAGUGGGGAGGCCUCAUGGCCCUCCCUU